UUCUUUUUUUAAUAAGGUUGGAGGAACCUCAAGGUACGUUUUGUUAAAGCAUAUUUUAUAUUGAUAAAUUUGAAGUUGUCAAGUCUAUAACAAUGAUAAUGUUAAUACGAGUAAAUUUAUAGCAAAUUUAGUUGACUUAACUUAUUUACAUGCUGGUUGCUCGGACUCUUGGAAAAACCUUACGUGCAUUUUAACCCACGAUAAGAGAACUUAAGGACGUUUCUAGAGAAUGCAAGACCAUGUUUGAAUGAGAAAUUGGUCUCGAUGAAAUUGAGAGUUCAAUGAACAGCACAUACAAUGCAAGUAAAUCUACCUACUCAAACCCAUCUUCUAUUUCUAAAGCAGAAGGGCUUUCGGUGGCUGAACCAAGUUACAGAAGAGCAACUGAAAGCUUACGAUCAGCUCUAAACCAAUUUUCCAGCACAAAGCCAGAGUGGAUCCCAAGUACAACGGGAAGGUUGUUAAAAUCAAAUCUCUUAUGUCUUAUUUCAUAACUAUUUAGUUUUGAUCUUAACUACAACAAUUUUCAUUUUUUUCUAGGUGAACAUUGUAUGUGCUUAGAAAUUAAGUGUUUUGAAAAUUAGAGGUGAGCAAUCACACUUAGAAACUAAGUGUAGAACCAUAGAAAUGUUACCCCAUCGGUUCU